rnacentral:rRNA from 1 species
GGGGGCACCCUGGCGGCGAGCGGCGAACGGGUGAGUAAUACAUCGGAACGUACCCAGGAGUGGGGGAUAACACAUCGAAAGAUGUGCUAAUACCGCAUACGCCCUGAGGGGGAAAGCGGGGGAUCGCAAGACCUCGCGCUGUUGGAGCGGCCGAUGUCGGAUUAGCUAGUUGGUAGGGUAAAGGCCUACCAAGGCGACGAUCCGUAGCUGGUCUGAGAGGGUGAUCAGCCACACUGGGACUGAGACACGGCCCAGACUCCUACGGGAGGCAGCAGUGGGGAAUUUUGGACAAUGGGGGCAACCCUGAUCCAGCCAUUCCGCGUGAGUGAAGAAGGCCUUCGGGUUGUAAAGCUCUUUCGGCAGGAACGAAACGGCGGGCUCUAACAUGGCCUGUCAAUGACGGUACCUGAAGAAGAAGCACCGGCUAACUACGUGCCAGCAGCCGCGGUAAUACGUAGGGUGCGAGCGUUAAUCGGAAUUACUGGGCGUAAAGCGUGCGCAGGCGGUUUUGUAAGACAGCUGUGAAAUCCCCGGGCUUAACCUGGGAACUGCGGUUGUGACUGCAAGACUAGAGUGCGGCAGAGGGGGGUGGAAUUCCACGUGUAGCAGUGAAAUGCGUAGAGAUGUGGAGGAACACCGAUGGCGAAGGCAGCCCCCUGGGUUGACACUGACGCUCAUGCACGAAAGCGUGGGUAGCAAACAGGAUUAGAUACCCUGGUAGUCCACGCCCUAAACGAUGCCAACUAGGUGUUGGGGAAGGAGACUUCCUUAGUACCGUAGCUAACGCGUGAAGUUGGCCGCCUGGGGAGUACGGUCGCAAGAUUAAAACUCAAAGGAAUUGACGGGGACCCGCACAAGCGGUGGAUGAAUGUGGAUUAAUUCGAUGC